rnacentral:rRNA from 1 species
GGUGGCGAGUGGCGGACGGGUGAGUAACGCGUAGGAAUCUACCCAGUAGCGGGGGAUAGCCCGGGGAAACUCGGAUUAAUACCGCAUACGCCCUACGGGGGAAAGGGGGGGAACUCUUCGGACCGGUCGCUAUUGGAUGAGCCUGCGUUGGAUUAGCUAGUUGGUAGGGUAAAGGCCUACCAAGGCGACGAUCCAUAGCUGGUCUGAGAGGAUGAUCAGCCACACUGGAACUGAGACACGGUCCAGACUCC